CGCGGUAAUACGCAGGGUGCGAGCGUUGUCCGGAAUCACUGGGCGUAAAGAGCUCGUAGGUGGUCUGUUGCGUCGUCUGUGAAAUCCCGGGGCUUAACUUCGGGGUGGCAGGCGAUACGGGCAUAACUAGAGUGCUGUAGGGGAGACUGGAAUUUCCUGGUGUAGCGGUGGAAUGCGCAGAUAUCAGGAGGAACACCGAUGGCGAAGGCAGGUCUCUGGGCAGUAACUGACGCUGAGGAGCGAAAGCAUGGGGAGCGAACAGGAUUAGAUACCCUGGUAGUCCAUGCUGUAAACGGUGGGCGUUAGGU
rnacentral:rRNA from 1 species